UUUAAAUAUGUAAGAAGCCCUACUUUCUUAACUGAAGGUGGGCAUGAAUGUAGAGCUUUU
rnacentral:rRNA from 1 species